AAGCUGCUCCUGGAGCUCAUAUGUGAAUGCAGAGAUAGAGCUGAUAAAUGAGUAAAGCCAAAGGCACACUAAUCAGAGGAACCCACUUACUUGGCUUAAAUGAACCCCCUGGAAAUCUCGAGAUGGACUCUUCAAAGAUCUCGCAUUUCAAGGAGAAGUUUUUGGUAUUAAAGAAGCUGGAAACCAGAAGAAGGAAGCAGAUCAUGUUCUCAUGGAGCCUCAGAGGAGAUUAAGAGCAUCUCUCUCUCAAUGCUAGGUUGAACUUCACAUUUGUCAAACACGUCCUGUGAUGUAUGCAUUAUUUUUUUCUCUUCGGUCAUUAGUUUGUGUCCUGUGGGCACAGCCCAAGCGGUUGAUUCAAAGGAAAUAAAGAUCAGGUGUUCUGCAACCUUAUGGCAGGUUCUCAGGGUGGAAGCAAGAGAGGAUCAUGAGUAAUGAGUUCUGCUCUUCACUCCUGGGCCUUGUCUCUGCUGCUCAUACAACCUUCCCAGCUGGUGGCUGGUUCAUUUACACUUCAUGGUCAGUGACUUUUCCCAUGGGGAAUGUCACCUGGACCAUUGUAACUGAGAUGGAGGAAGUUGUCCUAAGUAUUGUAAACAGCCUCGUUGGACAUGUCACAGUCCCCCCCAGCUUUAUACUUCUCUCUUGGUGUCUACUCCACAUGAUCCCCCUCUGAACUCCUGUCUGGAUUCUCAUACAUCUAAUCCCCAACCAAGAUGGCAAGAAGACUCCUGUAUCCCAGGGCCACACGGGAUAUAAGCAGUGUGAAAUUUUAUGAAAUAUGAAAGAAGUCCGUGUAAAUAAUAUCCCUUCAGGUACAUGACGCUCUUGCCUGGAGCUCUGUUCCACAUAACGGUGAGAAUGGCCUCCAUGUUUUGUCGCAGGGAGGAGGAGGGUAUGUUGCCGUGAGGAGUGACCGAGAAGGCAAGACUAGAAGGGUAGGAAAUUGAAUAAACGGAGGAGAGGAACUGGGGAUGGUUGUGUGCUAGUAUUGCGGAAAAAGCAGUAAAGGACGGUCACUUGCUCUUUGUGCUCAGAAUCUAUGGCAUAUUCGUUUUCUGCUCUACCAUGAGCAUGUGAAAUUUUAACAUUCGGUGAAAUAAAUUAGGCCAUACACUGUAUGUCCUCUGUUUUA